CAUAAAUACAUAACAAUAACACAUAAAUAACGUCAUUGUUCUAAGCAGUCCCAGAUAGUUGGAGGGGUGGAAGUUUAGGCUUCUGAUGAGGGAGCCUCUGCAAAGGAAAGGCAGAAGGCUCAAAGAAUUGAGGAAAGAAUCUUAACUGUACUUUCUGUUUGCUCUUUGUUGCUCAGGACCUGAAGUACUAAGGUUGCUAAGUGGCUUGAAAAUUUCUGAGACUUUUUUUUUUCCCCAAGUGGAAUAAAAGCAGUACAGACAAGCACAUUUGUUAUAGUUCUGUGUUUAGCUGGAAUGUAGAGGGACUUCUGAGGGCAAAACCCUUGUUUUGGGAUCUGACUCAAGAAAGCAUUUUUGCUUCCUCUUCUUGUUACCAAAAAUAAAAAGCAUUAUUAAGCAAUAUUUGCAGCUAUGCCAGGGAAGCUGUAUUGCUUCCAUGUGAUUGCACAGAGUAUUGACAGAGAACACUAUGAAAAGGACUCAGAAACACGGGAUAUUUGGAGAGGAGAGCUCAGAGGGCACCACAAGCUAAGCUAAAGCCUGAGAUAUCAGCUCAGAUGUAAGAGGCAGAGGCUUUUGAAUCUGGAAAUGAAAUGCCUAAAUGUCAAAGGUUGGAAUGUAGUGAAGAUCAGCCCAUUUUGUCACCAGUGCUCAAGUGAAGCUACAGGAUUUUCUGGAAAAGAACAAAAAGCAGCCAUCAUACUACUCUUAUGCACCUGAGCAGCUGCAUUAGACUUAGCAAUUAUUAAGUCCUCAAGGCAAUUUAUCAAAUUAGCCUUGCAAUAAUACAUACCUUUUUCCAUAGGCUAUACCAUUAGCAUGCCAAAUUUUGACUGUAUCAAAUAGUAAAAACUUCUCCUUAAUAUAAGUCUUUCACCUCACAAAAGUGAAAUGAGUUUGAUAUAUUCUACAUUUUCAUCUUGUUUCAUAUGAAUUGAAAAAUACUAAAAUGCACAAAAAUGUUUCCCUGAUUAUCUUCUUAAUCUGAUUUCUUGCUAAAUGUGAUUAUUGCAGAUGCAGUCCCACUCAGCAGAUUUGUCAUGACAAAAUAGCCAUAGUUUAGCGUGGGAGAUGGAAAGUGGCUGAAUUUGAGGUCAUAUGUGAUGAGUCAGAUAUUUUAGCUGGAAAAAAUUCUUUCUAAACAACAAGGUCAGGUUAACUCUGCUAGAACCAGACAAACCAGCAGUUUUGGAAUGCUU
rnacentral:lncRNA from 1 species